UGAAAUUAGUAAAAUAAUACUAAAAUUUGUAUAAGUCAUUUUUAGAAAGAUAGCUGAAAUUAUUUAGAAAUGAUAAUAUUGUACACAACUGUUAUUCAUUUGAUACAAAGAUAAGAGUACAUAUUUAUUUGAUACAAAGAUAAGAGUACAUAUUCUUCAGCCACUUUCCUUUUUUAAGAGCUAAUCAUCAUAUUUGGAAAUAUUUGGCCUUGGUUCAAAAUCAUCAUACUUUGUGGUACUUGGUCUUGGUUCAAAAUCAUUGUACUUUGUAGUGCUUGGUCUUGGUUCAAAAUCAUUGUACUUUGUAGUGCUUGGUCUUGAUUCAAAAUCAUUGUACUUGGUAACACUUGGUAUAGGUUCAAUAUCAUCCUUUUUGCUAGCUUUUAACUUGAAUUCAAAAUCACCAUAUUUAGUAGCACUUGGUCGUGGUUCAAAAUCAUCAUAUUUGGUAGUACUUGGUCUAGGUUUAAAAUCAUCUUUCUUGUUAGCACUUAACUUAAGUCCAAAAUCAUCAUACUUAGUAGCACUUGAUCGAGGUUCGAAAUCAUUAUACUUAGUAACACUUGGUCGAGAUUCAAGAGACUCUUCACAUUCAUGCUUGAAAUCUUUAACAAAUUGACCUUGAGUAUUGGGAUUAUUUUCAGAUUGAAUUGGAAGAAGGCCUUGAAGUCCUUCUGGCAUUUGCUGGUCUUUCAUU
rnacentral:lncRNA from 1 species